rnacentral:rRNA from 1 species
UACGAAGGGGGCUAGCGUUGUUCGGAAUCACUGGGCGUAAAGGGCGCGUAGGCGGCCGAUCAAGUCGGGGGUGAAAGCCUGUGGCUCAACCACAGAAUUGCCUUCGAUACUGUUUGGCUUGAGACCGGAAGAGGUUAGUGGAACUGCGAGUGUAGAGGUGAAAUUCGUAGAUAUUCGCAAGAACACCAGUGGCGAAGGCGGCCCUCUGGACCAGCACUGACGGCUGAGGCACGAAAAGCGUGGGGGAGCA